rnacentral:tRNA from 2 species
GCCGACUUAGCUCAGCUGGUAGAGCACCUGUCUUGUAAACAGGAUGUCGCGGGUUCGAACCCCGCAGUCGGCU